AUGGUGGCAGCGGAGCCCAGUCGAGAUGUCGACGACAUCGCCUACGACGCUGCCAGUUCCAUCGACUCUGUUACCGACGCCGAAACCCCUGGAUACGUCAGACGACGCUUGGCUUGGUUGGAGAACAUGGAAGAGCGGAGGUUCGCUACUUGGGACACAUCCUCACUACGCAAGGCCUGCGCAUCGACCCGGAGCGUGUUCAGGACAUUCUGGAAAUACCCGAGCCUAAGACCAAGACGGCGUGGCUGAACCAUAAGGAUGGAGCCCCAGAGCCGGGAAGGCCAUACUGGACCUACAGGGAAGAAGUUCACGCACAAGAUGGGCUAGUUUUCCGAAGCAACAAGGUAAUUAUACCGAAAUCGAAACGGGCAGAGAUCAUGCAUCUUCUUCACACAGCGCAUGCUGGAGCAGAUAAGAUGAAAGCGAGGGCCAGCAGUGGAAUGUUCUGGCCAAAUAUGUCCGCAGAUAUUAAACAGUUUUGCAAGAACUGCAAGGUGUGCCAAAUGCACCAGCCACGAAACCAGAAAAUGUCCCUUUUGAGCCAUGAUGUUCCGACCCUGCCAUGGGAGUCCGUAGGCGUGGACCUGUUUCACUAUGGCGGUCGGGAGUUCGCCGUCAUGGUUGACUUCUAUUCCCUUUUCUUCGAAGUCCGAGAACUUCGCCACACCACAUCUAAUGCGCUGAAGACUUGGUGUGCACAAGUUUUUUCUGUGCAUGGGCUGCCACAGAAGCUGUAUAGUGACAAUGGGCCCCCCUUCAGUAGCUCAGAUUUCAAGGAUUUUUUAAGAAAACUAGACAUUGUGCAUAUCACUUAAGUCCAUAUCACCCGCGUUCUAAUGGCAUGACGGAGAGAGCUGUUCAGGAGGCCAAGAAGCUGCUCAAAAAGUGCUCUUUUCGCACACCAGAUUUUGAAAUUGCUCUGCUUGAGUGGCGUAAUACCCCCAGGGACCCGGUUUUGAAGUCUCCUGUGCAGAGGCUCAUGGGGCGGGAGACCCGCACCCUCCUGCCGGUACCAACAACUCACCUGGAGCCAGAGGCCAUACCCAGCAAGGAUGUCCACGACCGUCUCCAGGCGAUCCGGCGCAGGCAAAAGAUCCACUACGACCGCAGCGCCAGGAACCUUUCCACACUGACGCCGGGACAACGCGUAACGACGUACGACAUUCUCCAGAGAACCUGGUCUCCAGCUAUUGUUCUAAGGCCAGCCGCAACGCCAAGAUGUACAAUUGUGAAGACCGAAGACGGUCGUGAAAUCCGUCGCUCAAGAGAGCACCUGCGGGAGGCAGCACCUCAACCGGAGCCAGAAUCAACCUCACAGGGGCCUUCAGAAGACGAGCUCCACCCUGGACAACAGCAGUUACGCAGGAGCACAAGAUUGCGUCGGGAACCCUGUCGAUACCCGUUGCCAGAUGAAACUUCUAGACCUUCUCAUCAUUAAAGGGAGAUGUGGCCAUAUCACGGUGUCAUUCUGAUAGCGCCCAGACUGUUAACACGUGACGUCUACGUCACCCCCAUUCCAAGUGUACAUAUAUCGCUCCCUCCCAUGAAUAAAG